rnacentral:miRNA from 1 species
GCCGCCAUUCGAAUCGGGUAG